rnacentral:rRNA from 1 species
UACGUAGGCAGCGAGCGUUGUUCGGAGUUACUGGGCGUAAAGCGUGCGUAGGCGGUUGUCUAAGUUUGGUGUGAAAUCUCCUGCUUAACUGGGAGGGUGCGCCGAAAACUGGGUGACUGGAGUGUCGGAGAGGUAAGCGGAAUUCCUGGUGUAGCGGUGAAAUGCGUAGAGAUCAGGAGGAACACCUGUGGUGUAGACAGCUUACUGGACGAUAACUGACGCUGAGGCACGAAAGCGUGGGGAGCAAACAGG